GAUGAAGAACGCAGCGAAAUGCGAUAAGUAAUGUGAAUUGCAGAAUUCAGUGAAUCAUCGAAUCUUUGAACGCACAUUGCGCCCGCCAGUAUUCUGGCGGGCAUGCCUGUUCGAGCGUCAUUUCCACCAUCAGGCCCCCGGGCCUGUGUUGGGGACCUGCGGCUGCCCGCAGGCCCCGAAAUUCAGUGGCGGUCGCGCCGUAGCAACCGAGCGUAGUAACUAAAACGUCUCGCUCUCGCUCGCUGGGCGCGCUCCGGCCGUAAAACACCCCCCCUUUUCGCAAAGGUUGACCUCGGAUCAGGUAGGAAUACCCGCUGAACUUAAGCAUAUCAAUAAGCGGAGGA
rnacentral:misc_RNA from 1 species